UACGUAGGGUGCGAGCGUUAAUCGGAAUUACUGGGCGUAAAGCGUGCGCAGGCGGUCUUGUAAGACAGUUGUGAAAUCCCCGGGCUUAACCUGGGAACUGCAAUUGUGACUGCAAGGCUAGAGUGUGUCAGAGGGGGGUGGAAUUCCACGUGUAGCAGUGAAAUGCGUAGAGAUGUGGAGGAACACCGAUGGCGAAGGCAGCCCCCUGGGAUGACACUGACGCUCAUGCACGAAAGCGUGGGGAGCAAACAGG
rnacentral:rRNA from 1 species